UUUUAAUGAGAGUUUGAUCCUGGCUCAGGACGAACGCUGGCGGCGUGCCUAAUACAUGCAAGUAGAACGCUGAAGGAGGAGCUUGCUUCUCUGGAUGAGUUGCGAACGGGUGAGUAACGCGUAGGUAACCUGCCUGGUAGCGGGGGAUAACUAUUGGAAACGAUAGCUAAUACCGCAUAAGAGUGGAUGUUGCAUGACAUUUGCU
rnacentral:rRNA from 1 species